GACAGAGGGUGCAAACGUUGUUCGGAAUACUGGGCGUAAAGCGUGUGUAGGCGGUCUCUUAAGUCGGAUGUGAAAGCCCCGGGCUCAACCCGGGAAGUGCACUCGAAACUGGGAGGCUAGAGUACUGGAGAGGUUGGUGGAAUUCUCGGUGUAGAGGUGAAAUUCGUAGAUAUCGAGAGGAACACCGGUGGCGAAGGCGGCCAACUGGACAGAUGACUGACGCUGGAGACACGAAAGCGUGGGGAGCAAACAGG
rnacentral:rRNA from 1 species